UACGUAGGGGGCUAGCGUUGUCCGGAAUCAUUGGGCGUAAAGCGCGUGUAGGCGGUCCGGUAAGUCCGCUGUGAAAGUCGGGGGCUCAACCCUCGAAAGCCGGUGGAUACUGUCGGGCUAGAGUACGGAAGAGGCGAGUGGAACUCCUGGUGUAGCGGUGAAAUGCGCAGAUAUCAGGAGGAACACCAAUUGCGAAGGCAGCUCGCUGGGACGUUACUGACGCUGAGACGCGAAAGCGUGGGGAGCAAACAGG
rnacentral:rRNA from 1 species